UACGGAGGGUGCGAGCGUUGUCCGGAAUCACUGGGCGUAAAGGGCGCGUAGGCGGCCUGAUAAGUAGGGGGUGAAAUCCUGAGGCUUAACCUCAGGGCUGCCUUCUAAACUGUCGGGCUCGAGCACAGUAGAGGCAGGUGGAAUUCCCGGUGUAGCGGUGGAAUGCGUAGAGAUCGGGAAGAACAUCAGUGGCGAAGGCGGCCUGCUGGGCUGUUGCUGACGCUGAGGCGCGAAAGCUAGGGGAGCAAACGGG
rnacentral:rRNA from 1 species